UUCAUUGGGCGGGCCAGGGCAGGGGAGCCUUCGGGCUCGCCGGAUCCUUUUCGCCGGUACGCCAACCUUGCCUUGCGCCCGCCCACCCCG
rfam:Cupriavidus sp. SK-3 Scaffold28, whole genome shotgun sequence.